rnacentral:rRNA from 1 species
GGCUCAGGAUGAACGCUGGCGGCGUGCCUAAUACAUGCAAGUCGAACGCAACACCUUCGGGUGUUGAGUGGCGGACGGGUGAGUAACACGUGGGUAACCUGCCCAUCAGCCUGGGAUAACCACCGGAAACGGUGGCUAAUACCGGAUAUGUCUACGGAUGAAAGUCGGAUUAUCUGACGCUGAUGGAUGGACCUGCGGCGCAUUAGCUAGUUGGUGAGGUAGCGGCUCACCAAGGCGACGAUGCGUAGCCGACCUGAGAGGGUGAUCGGCCACACUGGGACUGAGACACGGCCCAGACUCCUACGGGAGGCAGCAGUAGGGAAUCUUCCGCAAUGGACGCAAGUCUGACGGAGCAACGCCGCGUGAGUGAAGGAGGUUUUCGGAUCGUAAAGCUCUGUUGUUAAGGAAGAAUGUUCAUGGUAGUAACUGGCCAUGAAGUGACGGUACUUAACCAGAAAGCCACGGCUAACUACGUGCCAGCAGCCGCGGUAAUACGUAGGUGGCAAGCGUUAUCCGGAAUUAUUGGGCGUAAAGCGCGCGUAGGCGGCAAGAUAAGUCUGAUGUGAAAGCCCUCGGCUCAACCGGGGAGGGUCAUUGGAAACUGUCUUGCUUGAGUGCAGAAGAGGAGAGUGGAAUUCCAUGUGUAGCGGUGAAAUGCGCAGAGAUAUGGAGGAACACCAGUGGCGAAGGCGGCUCUCUGGUCUGCAACUGACGCUGAUGUGCGAAAGCGU